UUUAUCUUCCCAAAGGUGUGUAUUUUUUCUCGAUUUUCUCUAAAAUCCUAUUGUGACUACUCAAGAUGUAACGUUUUUUGGGUAGAUAAAGAUCCAAGGAAUCAUAGAACCGAAAAUCUCAAGUAGUCAUCGAGGAACUUUACCAGAAAUUAGAACUGGCAAACAAGGACCAGAGUGACAGAACAGGGACAAAUGAUGUAUUCGAGUGGCAGGAAGACACCAACGAACUGGCGAACAGGGACCAGAGUGACAGGACAGGGACAGAUGAUGUAUUCGAGUGGCAGGAAGACACCAACGGUAAUUCAUCUUCCAGUUCUUGGAAACACAAAAAGAAGCUUGCUGGCAUGUGCCGCAUUUGUGGUGAUUUAGUGAGUGCGAAAAGUUAUAACAAACAAGCAUACGUUAAGGAAAUUCGACAACUCUAUAACAUUUUCGGCAAAUGUCGGGUUUCAAAAUUAUGUGUCCCUUUAACUAUCUUAUACAUAGUUUCACAUUGUCUUUCCCUCCAUCUUGAACACCCCUCUUUCAAGACACCGUUCUUUCAAAGUAAGUUAUACUACUUAUUUUAUCUUAAAUCCCCUAUUUGCCCAACCAGAUUGGUACCCACUUGAGUUUAACAGGUGUAAGAUUUUGUCAAGCAUCUCCCUCAAUAUCCUGUGUAUUUAGGACUUCUAUCAUGGACUGAUAAAUUUAUCUUUCAAAUCUGCCGCCAGUUUUAUUUUUAGCAUUGACACUGCACAAUUUGAGUGUAAUGCAGCACAGAGACGCUGUGACUCAUCUUCACGUAUAGUAUUACAUGUAUCAUGUACAGUGUACAUUUUGUACACAAUCAGCUGUUUGUAAAACUGUCUAUCGUUUGAGAGUGGAGUCGAGAUUUUCGGGUCAGAAUCUAACAAAGUCGCUCGUUAAAAUCAACCAUAUUUCACCUAAAACAGUUCUAGAGACACUGUUCUCUGAACUACCUAUCUUCCUUCUCCAAGUUGACAUCCUUGGGGACUCCAAAUUAAUACUUUAUAGCGGUUCGCCCACUUUAUAAUUGGGCGCCGCCAUCUUGUCAAAAUGGGUUUUGUGGGUUUCGCACCAAGUUGGAUUCGUACCUUCUUUAUCUCGAUUUUUGCUCAUUGGAAUUUCCUAUAACUUCAUAUUACGAUGGUUGAGACAUUUGGCCGCAUGCUUGACCAAAUUUUGUGUAUGAAACUCAUACGCCAUUGUCAAAAUUCACAUCGUUUGUCACCACUGUCAUUUCACCUGUCGACUGGUGUCUGGACCUCGUGGUACGAUCACGCAUCUGUCCAUUUCGUGAAAAGCUUUAUAGCCAGAAUUUUCCUUGUUAGAAUCCGCUAUAAGUUUGUACUACGAUAGUCAUAGCAUUUAUCUAUAGCCUGAACCAGAUUUAGCCGUGUAGUCCGAGUACUUUCGUCAAAAUUGGCAAUAUUGUCGACCUCACCGUUUUACUUGUCGUCUGCUAUAUUCGGCCAUUUUGCACGUGCAUUAGGCCGCUCGCACUUCCUUUCUCCACUUCUCGGAGAAACGUCAUGAUUUAAAAUUGCCUCGUACGAAUUUAUUAUUACUUUACAAAUUGAUAUUCGAGUAUUUGACGAACUUCAUCAUAUCUAUAAAUAUUAUUUCGGUUGUGGGAAAGUUGGUGUAUUUUGGCGAUAUUUUCGGGACACCCUCUCGCCUGUUGUCAUGGCAAGGCCUGAAACAUGGCGCGCCAUGCGGGAUCUUUUGUUUCACCAAUACCGCGCGUAACUUCAAAUAUCUUAAAAACUACUCGUUGAAUUUUCGUCAAAUCUCGUUUACUCAAUCUUGCAUACCAUAUCUCUCUUGUAAUAUAUUCAAUUCCGCGACGAAUUAGCCAGUUACUGAAUUAUUUAGCAUCUAUUUCGACCUUUAGGUGGUUUUCGUCGUCAUUUUGUAAAGGCCAACGGCUGACGUCACGUCGUAGAAUUUACCCUCCCGAUGUGCGGAAAAGUCUACAUAUUUUCUUCUGUCGAAUCGAUUUCGAUCAAAUUGUAUGAGUAUUGUGUUUGAUACUAUGAGCAUGGCUUGUUUAAGUUUCAGCAAUUUUGUACGAGCCGUUUUUUGUAAUAUUAGUAAGUUUGUUCAGCGCAACAUUGGAGAAGCGUCAUUGUUGUGUCGUUUUACGCCUUGACGCCGCUAUCGACGUCAUCUUCGACUGGUGUACGAUGAUGUCUGUAAAUAUUUUUCUAACGAGGCGAUUUUGCCUAGUUUCUAAUAAUAUGCUGUCCUGUAUCAUAAAAUUAUAUUGUCUAAGUUUCAGUAAAAUCGUGCAAGCCGUUUUUGGAAUAUCGGCAAGUUUGUACAGCGUAAAGUGGGAGAAAGCGUCAUUGUUGUAUCGCUUUACGCAUUGACGCCGUAUUUGAAAUUGUCUCCGGCUGGUGUGCGGAAAUGUGUGUAAAUAUUUAUCUAGCGAGGCGAUUUUGCCCAAAUUCUGGAAAUAUCUUCUUCUUUAUCAUCAAGACAUAUUGUCAAAGUUUAAGUAAAAUCCUACGAGCCGUUUUCAUAACUUUUGCGGAUUAGUCGGUGGGAAAGCCGUAACUCCGUCAAUCUUGCUACUGUGAAAUGGCUUAGGAGCCGUUUCUCAAAAAACCUUGGGGAUCUAACUUCAAACUUUAUUAACUUUGGAACCGCUCGUUAGAUUUUUCUCUUUUACGGCUAGUGUGUUCCUUACCGGUAAAAGAAACUUUUGUACGAGACGAUUUUUGAUAUUCAUUUUCUAACUGUAGUUUUAGAGUGAGUUUUGUCAGAAUUUCUUACAAAAAUUCCCGUUUCUGCCAAAUCGCGACGCGAAUCCGCGACGCUGAUUGGCUGGGGACUGCGUCAUUUUGCUAUAAAAGACGUGCUUUUUCCAGUAUAAUCAGUCUUGAUCGUGUGGUCAAUCCGACAACAUCGACUCAAACCCAGGUACGCACCAAACCUGUCGCGCCUCCCCAGCCGGGGUCCGGCGGCGACCGUAGCCUUUCCAUUCCGGCUACCCGGCGUAUUCCACCUCCGCCAUGGGUUCCAAUAGUUCUGAUCAGACUCACUCCAUCCAUACCAUGACCACACUAUGCUUGCAUGUACAUUGAGUGUUCAGUCCAUUGAACAUUUCGCGCGUAAUCAGCGCGUGUUACUUAGGCCAGCAGGGCAUGUCGGUCGUUAGCCAUGAUCGUAAACUUGUUAGACAUAGGCUAGAACUUAGUCAAAUUUCAUCUCAUCGUAAAUAUAAACAUGCCAUAAGUGAUCAUCUGUAAAUAUUUCGUCGAGGACGUGGAUAAGAUACUUAUCCUAU